rnacentral:lncRNA from 1 species
AGACACUAGAGAGACCAAGACUGGCUUCCUCGUGAGCAAUCCAUUGUCAGAGUUCUGCUGGUGUGUGUCCCUCUGAAAUGGCCUGUUUUGCGAUCAAGCUCACCUCCUACCCACGUAAAUUUGAACUAGAGCAUCAGUGUCUACCAAGUGAUCCUUCUCAACUGACAUUUGAAUGGACGGCAUCCACACCCCAUCUGUCAGCUUUGCCCCCAUGUCCUGUGCUGGGACACGUUUUGACCCUUCCAGGGAGCUCCCAGCGCUGCUGUUCAUAGCAGAAAUUCCAGGUUCUGGAGAAAAGCAUGAUUUCUUUCAGCUCUGGGGAGUGCUGUUAAAAGGUC